AAUCAGCCAGGAAGGAUUGUCUGCCUGCUGUCUUGGAGCACAGCUUCUGGAUAAACAGUGUGCUGUUUCACCACAUAGUUUCUUGCUAGAUCUAUGUCUCCAUAGCCUUUCUGUGUUUAUCCAUACCUACCCCGUGCUGUAUAUCUCAUAGCUUUGGUCCUGUCUAUCCUUUGGUUGCUCUGUCUCCACGAGUCGAACACUUUCACCUACUAAUAAUACAGAAAAAUCGAGCUAACUGGUACCUUCUGGUUCCCAUCCUUGUCUGAUUUGUUUUUCCUGGAUCUAACUCUUCUGCUUUGCUGCCAGUUUUCCACCAUCCUUCCAUUGCCUUCUACGGCCCUCCCUGUUGUGUGCCUUGGGCUAGUUAGUCUACUCCCAUCCCUGCCCUUCACUUCUUGCACAUAUGUGUGUUCCUGUUCAUAUAUAAGAUUGCUUCUUUCACUCUUUACCACACCAAGUACACCCUCCCAUCUCAAAUAUUUGAAGUUGGUUUACUUCAAUUUUGUACUAACCAACGUCAAAUAUUAAAGGGUGGAUGUAGUACUUCUCCUCCACUGUCCUUCGUCUGCCUAUAUUUACAUGGAAACUUGAUUCAAACUAUCAGCGUCAGUUUCUACAACUUUGUAGCUUUGUUAUUCACAUCCUUUUUUUUGUUGUGGAGCUGAAGCCCCAAUUUUCACAUGUUAAUUAUUCUUUUUUCAGAAGUAGGAGUGAUGGUUUUCGGGGGGGAAAUUAGGGGUGAUGAUUUUCAAGAACAAAAAUAAUUCCCAAGAUGAAGAUUGGAGAAAUCAAUGUGGUGCGGUUUCAUUGCUUUUGUGCGCUGUUAGUGCUACCUGUUAUCUUCCGCAUGGGAUUGGCGUUCCAGGCCUCGUCAACUGUUAUUUGGACCUGUCAAAUUUAUCUAACCUCUUGAAUUUAUUGGUUCCAGAGUUGUUCCUUGCUAGUAGUGUUAAUUUUGAGCGGUUCUGAUUGACAGUUUGUAUUUACUCAUGCAGCAACGGUGGCGGCCAGACCAAGCGGCUAAUGUUGGUGGAGACUAAUUGAGGAAUGAGGAGCCAAACGUGUAGGUUUAGCUAUUACAAAGAAUCGGAUUGCUACGCGUGGUGAAACGGUCUUAUUACAAAGGUCGAACACGCACACGCCGGAUUGGUUAUAGCCUAAUGAGGAGGAGGUUGGACGAUGAUAUAGGUUGUUAAUUCCAGCGCAUUGCAUUUGUAUUAUGCACUUCAUCAUGCAUAGUUAAAAAAGAGAUGGGAUAAAGU